ensembl:lncRNA
AAAAUUUCUAGGAGUAGUUUGUUACAGCAUAAAACAUGUCACUUCCUGUUGCCAGCAGGUGGCGCUAUAGCGAUAUCUGAAUAUUGGCAUGUAGAUAUAUUCAGGUCAGGAGUCUUCUCAAACAUGUGAAGUUUGGGGCAGAUUGGACAUUGUAUGUCUGCGUUAUAGCAACUUCCUUUCUCAUGGCGAAACAUCGAAAUUUGUAAGGCCGCCACAGACACGCCCUUAAACGAAACCUCAAGAUCUUCGCAAUUUAACAUCGCAAAGGCCUUUAGAUUACACUGACAAAGUUUGGUGUUGAUCUGAAUAAAUCUCUAGGAGGAGUUCGUUAAAGUACAACCCCUGAAAAUGGCAAAAACGACACAAAUUUUGCAGAGAAAAUUAAAAAUAACUGACUUCGUGUUGGGAUUCGAAUUUCGUACCAAGAGACUUUUUUGUAGGUAUUGGUGUGUUACAUGUGUGUACCGAUUUUUGUACAUGUACGUGAAACGUAGCUCGAGGCGCACUCCAUUGAAAAUGUAUAGGUGGCGCUAUCGAGGCAUUUUGCCACACCCAAUGGAAUAUUGGCCUUCAGAUGUGUUCAGGCCAGGACUCUUAUCAAACAUGUGAAGUUUGGGCAAGAUCGGACAUUUUAUGCCUGAGUUACAAUAACUUUUAUUCCCAUGGCGAGACAUCGAACUUUGUGACGGCGCCAUGGACACGCCCUUUAACAAAAACUCAAGAUCUUCACAAUUUAACAUCGCACAGGCCUUUAGAAUAGAGUGACUGGAAAAAAAAUUUAUGUCAUAAAAUUUCUCGGGGUAGUUUGUUACAGCGUAAAAUAUGUCACUUCCUGUUGCCAGUAGGUGACGCUAUGACUAUAACUGAAUAUGGGCAUAUCAAUCUGUUCAGGUCAGGAGUCUUAUCAAACAUGUGAAGUUUGUGGCAGAUUGGACAUUGUAUGUCUGAGUUAUAGCAACUUCAUUUUUCAUGGCGGAUCAUCGAAAUU